UCAGGCCUAACACAUGCAAGUCGAACGGCAGCGCGGGUGCUUGCACCUGGCGGCGAGUGGCGAACGGGUGAGUAAUACAUCGGAACGUGCCCUAGAGUGGGGGAUAACUAGUCGAAAGAUUAGCUAAUACCGCAUACGAUCUACGGAUGAAAGUGGGGGACCGCAGGCCUCAUGCUCCUGGAGCGGCCGAUGUCUGAUUAGCUAGUUGGUGGGGUAAAAGCCUACCAAGGCGACGAUCAGUAGCUGGUCUGAGAGGACGACCAGCCACACUGGGACUGAGACACGGCCCAGACUCCUACGGGAGGCAGCAGUGGGGAAUUUUGGACAAUGGGGGCAACCCUGAUCCAGCAAUGCCGCGUGUGUGAAGAAGGCCUUCGGGUUGUAAAGCAAUUGGUCAGGAACGAAACGGUGGGGGCUA
rnacentral:rRNA from 1 species